GACGAACGCUGGCGGCGUGCUUAACACAUGCAAGUCGAACGGAAAGGCCCUGCUUUUGUGGGGUGCUCGAGUGGCGAAAGGGUGAGUAACACGUGAGUAACCUGCCCUUGACUUUGGGAUAACUUCAGGAAACUGGGGCUAAUACCGGAUAGGAGCUCCUGCUGCAUGGUGGGGGUUGGAAAGUUUCGGCGGUUGGGGAUGGACUCGCGGCUUAUCAGCUUGUUGGUGGGGUAGUGGCUUACCAAGGCUUUGACGGGUAGCCGGCCUGAGAGGGUGACCGGCCACAGUGGGACUGAGAUACGGCCCAGACGCCUACGGGAGGCAGCAGUGGGGAAUAUUGCACAAUGGGCGGAAGCCUGAUGCAGCAACGCCGCAUGCGGGAUGACGGCCUUCGGGUUGUAAACCGCUUGCGCCUGGGACGAAGCGUGAGUGACGGUAAUGGGUAAAGAAGCACCGGCUAACUACGUG
rnacentral:rRNA from 1 species